UAAUACCCAAUCCUGACACAGGGAGGUAGUGACAAGAAAUAACAAUACGGGGCUCAACGCCUUGUAAUUGGAAUGAUGGGAACCUAAACCCCUUCCAGAGUAUCAAUUGGAGGGCAAGUCUGGUGCCAGCAGCCGCGGUAAUUCCAGCUCCAAUAGCGUAUAUUAAAAUUGUUGCAGUUAAAAAGCUCGUAGUUGAAUUUCUGCCGCAUCGCGGCGGCCCUCCCGGGCCCAGCGUUGCGGCUUAUUUCGGACUCGCUUGCGUCUCCGAAUGUUUACUUUGAGAAAAUUAGAGUGCUCAAAGCAGGCCCUUGCCUUGAAUACUUUAGCAUGGAAUAAUAAAGUAGGACUUUGGUUCUAUUUUGUUGGUUUAGCGCCAAAGUAAUGGUUAAUAGGAACAGUUGGGGGCAUUCGUAUUUAAA
rnacentral:rRNA from 1 species